rnacentral:ncRNA from 1 species
GUGGGUUCACCGCCGGGUGAGCCAUAAGCGCUUUUUGCCGUAUCGUUAGGCCUUUGAAGAUGCGGCGAGAGGCGCAUUUUGCAU